rnacentral:lncRNA from 1 species
GGAGAGAGAGGAGAGGUGGGAGAGAAGAGAGAGAGAGAGAGAGAGAGAGAGAGAGAGAGAGGAGAUAAGGUUGAAUGGUUGAGAGGUUAGGGUGGGAAGAGAGUUCGGCCAAUAGGAACGCUUGGUUUCGGAGUUGUGGAUCGAUGACGUGGCAAAUGUGUUUCUUCUCUAAACUUAUAACACAUUUUUGGACUACUAAAUGAUCUCGAAUGAAAAAGCUCAUCGAGCUCUACAAUUUUGAUAUAAAGUUCGGAUUCAUCCGAGAUCAUAUGCAAAAGUUUGUAUUAAAAAAAUAUAGCCUUCAAACUUAAUCAUACUCAUCAUCCUUAACUUUGUUUCUAUUUACGGAGCCCAACAACGGGUGCAUCGUCAUCAUCGUCAUACAUCUUGACGCCGCUCCCAUCGUAGAUCACCU